UACGUAGGGCGCAAGCGUUGUCCGGAAUUAUUGGGCGUAAAGAGCUCGUAGGCGGUCUGUUACGUCCGCUGUGAAAACCCAGGGCGUUAACCCUGGGCGUUGCAGUGGAUACGGGUAGACUAGAGGCAGGUAGGGGAGAAUGGAAUUCCCGGUGUAGCGGUGAAAUGCGCAGAUAUCGGGAGGAACACCGGUGGCGAAGGCGGUUCUCUGGGCCUGACCUGACGCUGAGGAGCGAAAGCGUGGGGAGCGAACAGG
rnacentral:rRNA from 1 species